UUUCAUUUCUAAUGCGCCACGAGCCGAAAUGAAACCAGUGUUGCACACGGGGUGCUGGCUCCUGAACGCAGCUCAUUGGAGGACUACAGUAACGAUACUUUCAUUUUUUUCCCCCUCUGCUCUCGCGUGUUCUCGCGAGACAGCGGUGUGUUUGACGGGCAGUCGAGGUUGCAGAGGCAGGGAGACGGUGGAAGGUAAAGCAGGGAGGCAGCAUCAUGGCGGACAGAGACAGUGGCAGUGACCACGGAGGGCCCACCACAGGCCCGCUGCCUCCGGGGGCGAUGGGCGGCAUGUCCCGUCUGCAGCACGACACCGAGGAGCUCGCCUCGAAGCGGGUCGACAUCCAGAACAAGCGCUUCUACCUGGACGUGAAGCAGAACGUCAAAGGCCGCUUCCUAAAGAUAGCCGAGGUCGGCGCUGGGGGAAACAAGAGCCGCCUGACUCUGUCCAUGUCCGUAGCCGUGGAGUUCCGAGACUACCUCGGGGACUUUAUCGAGCACUACGCCCAGCUGGGCCCCUCCAACCCGGACCUGGUGCAGGACGAGCCGCGGCGGGCGCUGAAGAGCGAGUUCCUGGUGCGGGAAAACCGUAAAUACUACAUGGAUCUGAAGGAGAACCAGAGGGGGCGGUUCCUGAGGAUCCGGCAGACCGUUAACCGGGGGCCGGGGCUGGGCAGCGCACAGGGCCAGACCAUCGCUCUCCCCGCGCAGGGGCUCAUUGAGUUCCGCGACGCUUUGGCCAAACUCAUCGAUGACUACGGGGUGGACGAGGACCCCGCGGAGCUGCCAGAGGGCACGUCUCUGACCGUGGACAACAAGCGCUUCUUCUUCGACGUGGGCUCCAACAAGUACGGCGUGUUCAUGCGGGUCAGCGAGGUGAAGCCCACGUACCGGAACUCCAUCACGGUGCCCUGCAAAGUGUGGUCCAAAUUCGGCAACACGUUCAGCAAAUACGCGGAGGAGAUGAGGCAGAUCCAGGAGCGGAGUAGAGAGAAGCGGGCCUCAGAACUGAUGCCCGAGAGCCACGGGGGCGACGAGGGCGAGGACGACUGACCGCGAGCUCGGAGCAAAAAUCAAACCGAAUCACGUGACUUUGUAAAAUAGAGAUGUUGAAGGGAAUCACCCACACAACCUCCACGGACAGCCCGCUGUCUCCUCGUCAUUACCGGAUGUCUCCCACAACCCACCACUCACAGUGAGCCGCUGCUAAACGGAACUUGUCGCCCGAGCAACCUGGAGCAGUGCACCCGGGAUCCAUCUCCAGUUCUUGGGUGAAGUUUGGGUGAGAUCUAUCAGGAGAAUUAACCUUCUGAACACAUUUUAGGCUGAAGGAGGAAACCCACUGACACUCAAGAAAAACAACCGAACUCCACAGUGUGAACACAACUGGGAAUUGAACCGGCGACCAUCUUGCUGUGAGGCGAGAAAGUUAGUCCAAGUUACUGAUACUUUGCAGCUGAUGACAUUCCCUGGGGUUGUGAUGCUAACUAGAGGCACUGCUCUGUCUGAAGCUCUAUUCAACUUUAAUCUGAGCUUUAAUUUAAACACAGUCUGACCUUAAUGAACUGACUCAGCUGGAAGUACAAUAAAUGAGCUGAUUUGUGCUGUAAAACAAGUCCCUCUCACAUAACAUAACAGUCACACGCUACUCAGCUUUAUCCAACAGUUUUUCAGUUCGUCACUCUCACCUUUUUGUUGAAAAUCAAACUCCUAAACAGGACCAUGUACACUCGCACUGAUCACAGGCUCCUGAAAAUGUGCUGUUUAAAGCCAUUUCAUAUUUUUCCUUUUUCUUUGUAUCUUAAAACUUUUUUGACAGUUUUUGCUAAUGUGUCCGCUUGGCAACUGAUGAGCAUUUGGCCAACAGAGAUACAUGUACAACCCACUAGAGCACAUGUGGCAAGGCCCAGGCCCCAAGGGGUUAAAAGGUACAAUUUAUUAUUAUGUUGUGACUCUGUGCUGCAACUACAUCUCCCACAAUGCACCACAGUUGUUUCCCGUGAAGUGACUCCAUCUCGCCACUAUAGAGGCUAAGAAAACUCAUCAAAUUUCCCCAAAAAUGUCCAAGUAAAGAAAAACUGAUGCAGAAGGACGGCUACUUCAUGAAUGUUAAUGAAGGAGUAAUGUGAAUGUUUUAACUUAAACCUUUAAAUCAAAUCCAAUCCACUUUAUUUCUACAGCACAUUUCAUAAACAAAACAGUUUCCCAAGUGCUGCACAAUACAGAUAAAACAUAUCCAAUAGAAAUAUAAAGUAAAGCUCUACUUUACUCUACUAGUCCUCAUUAAGACAAUAAAACUAGUACAAUCAAAUAAGAGCAAGAAUACCAGUAAAUAAUAAAAAGAUAAAAAACAUAAAUGAAAUGAAAAUAUCAAAUACAGACUUUUACAGAUUUGUAACACACCGAUAUUACAGUUACAGUUUCAGUCUUAACUUUACAACCGGCCCAUUGAUGACAAACAUGAUCCAAAUGUGGCCCUGGGUGAAAAUGAGUUUGACCCCCCUGACCUAGAGUUAUGGCACAGCAGUAUCAGUAGCUCACUCCUUCUUUGCAUUGUAGCUGUGGUUAAAACUUUGGUAACAGAUUUGUUGGUAGUUAUAUAGGAGACAUAUUGGAAAGUUCAAAGAUGGCUGCACAUUUCUAAGCGCUAAAAUAAAAAAAAAAUACAAAAACUUUUAUUAACAACUUCAGUGUGUUUUCAGGUCACUGUAAAACAUGCAAAAAAAAAAAAAAAAAAAAAGAAACAUUUUCACAAGAUAUUAAAAAGAAGCACCACUUUCACCAAGAAUAACAGAUGGCUACUGGUAUUUCAGCAAAUGUUGUGAAUUUUAAACAACUUUGCAAAGCUAGAACAGCAUUAAAGAGCUCAUAUUACACUAUUUUCUGAUCUAAAUCUUCUGUAUAAUGUUGUUUCCUCAUCAAAAACAUACCUGGAAUUCUUCUCUCAAACUGAAAACACUCUGUACCACCUUGUGAUGUCACGUGGUCAUACAGGAAGUGUUCCAAAUACCUUCACUAGAAUCAUAUGGAUGACUGAACUAAACAUAAAAGGUAGUUGAUAACUCGAAAACUACCACUUCAUGACAUCACAAAGUGGAACAGAGCAUUUUGAGCUUUGGAGAUGCAGACAGACGAAUAAACAAGGAUUACUUAAACAUGUGUGAAUGAAACAAAACACAACUCCUGGUCUGUUUUUGAUGAGAGAACAACAUAACUUUCAAAUCAAAUCAAAUCAAACUUUAUUUAUAAAGCACUUUUCAUACAAAAAUGUAACACAAAGUGCUUUACACAGAUUAAAAACAAUCCCACAUUUCCACCCACCCACCCAACCCCCACAGCUGCCCGACUCCACACAACCAAACAGCAUAAACACACACACACACACACACACACACACACACACACACUCACAUGCUAAAAUACAUAAAACUACACAUAGAAAAAAUGUGAGACUGAAUACAGGCGAACCAGUUGAGAAAGCACCAUCAGAGGAGUCGUCUACACCAGGAGCAGAGAGCCGUCCACCACCACCAGGAACCACCACAGGGUCCAGGGGAGAGAUGAGGCCCAAAGCACCACCCCUCCACCAGGAGCCCACGGGACAGACCCCGACAGCUACAGCUGACCUCCUGAUACAGAGGGCUCCUACAGAGGAAACACUGGAAAUCCUAAAAAUAGGCCUAAAAUAAAUAAAUAUAAUAAAAUGUGUACAGUAGAAACAAGCAAAAGUAUAAGAUUUCAUUCAAAAGCUAAGCUAAUAAGGUGGGUCUUAAGCCUACUCUUAAAAACAUGAACGUUCUCUGCAGCCCUGAGCUCCUCCAGCAGACAGUUCCAUAGACGGGGGCCAUAAUACUGGAAAGACGCCUCUUAAACUUUGCGUAAACCUCACAUGAAUCCAUUUCCAGGUCCUUUAAACAGUCAUUUUAAAACCACAAUGGGGAUAUAUAAGUUACAUUUGGACUAAAAAUAUAAAACAACACUAGCAUCUUACAUCACCUUAUAACAGAACUUACAUUUCCUGCUUACUUCUCUGCAGAAAUCGUCCUUUUCCUCGAGAGCAGGAGCAGUUGUAACAGUGGGCAUCUUGCAUUGAAAAAAGACACAGGUGUAAAUAGUGACUGUUAAAACAAAAGUCACAUCACAAUAAAAACACCACGGAAACAAGAGCUGAGGAAGUGCUAAUAGUAACAGGCAGCUUUUGUUUUUCUGUGCUUUCUUGGCCAGCUCCGACCAGCCACUUCUGCUCUGUUCCUUUCACACAUCCUUGUCAUGUUUUUUUUUUUAACCAGUCUAUUAAUGGCACUAACACAAACUGCAGAGGGGUAACUGGUGGUAGUAAAGUAGUAAAAGUUGGGAUGGCUGGUAUAAAUAAAAUUGAGAAAAGAGAGCGUAACUGUAAGUAAUUGUCCAUUCACAACUUACUUUGUGGGUCAGUCAUAAUCUGAGGGACUUAUGUUGGUGCAUUUUUGUUUCUUAUGGUCAUUUUCAAGAUCAGUUUUCUGUAUUUUAGCUAAACAAAAGACAAUAUAUUCCCCUCUUUACUGUUGGUAGACACAGGACUCAAAACUGGGACUGUCCUGGGUAAAUAGGGACGUCUGGUCACUCGCCCAGUUUUGACUUUGUUGGUAACAUGAAGCUAAAGAGGUUGCCCCAAAGACACCUGGGUAAAUUGGAAUGGGGUUGAAGAUAAAAUUGUAGAGUUAAGUCAAUGCCAGUUUCACAGCAUUAGGAUUAAUUUGCUC